rnacentral:rRNA from 1 species
AUUGAACGCUGGCGGCAGGCCUAACACAUGCAAGUCGAGCGGCAGCGGGAAAGUAGCUUGCUACUUUUGCCGGCGAGCGGCGGACGGGUGAGUAAUGCCUGGGAAAUUGCCCAGUCGAGGGGGAUAACAGUUGGAAACGACUGCUAAUACCGCAUACGCCCCACGGGGGAAAGCAGGGGACCUUCGGGCCUUGCGCGAUUGGAUAUGCCCAGGUGGGAUUAGCUAGUUGGUGAGGUAAUGGCUCACCAAGGCGACGAUCCCUAGCUGGUCUGAGAGGAUGAUCAGCCACACUGGAAAUGAGACACGGUCCAGACUCCUACGGGAGGCAGCAGUGGGGAAUAUUGCACAAUGGGGGAAACCCUGAUGCAGCCAUGCCGCGUGUGUGAAGAAGGCCUUCGGGUUGUAAAGCACUUUCAGCGAGGAGGAAAGGUUGAUGCCUAAUACGUAUCAACUGUGACGUUACUCGCAGAAGAAGCACCGGCUAACUCCGUGCCAGCCGCCGCUGUAACAC